rnacentral:lncRNA from 10 species
GUGAGGCCGGUGGCCCAGGUUUGGCAAGUUUUCUGCAGCUUUAACACACUCGGCUUCUGAGCCAGAUCCUGUCAGGACACCUUCUUCAACCUGCCAAGCGGGGACCCACCCAGGAGUUCCUAUUUUUUCCUGAUUUGCUCUGAGAAGAGGCCGAAACACCGGGAGGCCGGGUAUUGCGGUGUUGUCCAGGCUGGUCUGGAACUUCUGGCCUCAGCCCAUCCUUCGGUCUCGGCUCCCAAAGCGCUGGGAUUAUAGGCAUGAGCCACUGCCCCCGCGCCCACUUCUGCUUCUAAAAAAUGAGUUUCAGGGCCCUCUCCUGGUACCCCAAGCCAAGGCCAAGUGGGAACUGGAAGCUGGAACAGCCCAACUACCCACCCAGCCUGCAGAGGAGAGACCAGAAAUAGCCCUUAGCUUCCAGGGAGAUGGCGAGUGACCUGAUCCUGCGCCUGGUCGGCAGGCCCUUGAGAGCAGUGGCCUCCUCUGUCUUGCUCUCCACCCGAUCCUGACUUAGCCCAGCUUCUCCGGAGCUGCCUGCUCACGAGGCUGCACUCCCUCUGGCCUCUGCCACUCCCUCCCGGCUGGGCUGAAACUGCUCUUGUCCAAGUCACCAACAGCCUCUGCGCUGCCUGCCGAGCACAGUGGGUGCCUCGUCCUCUCCCCAUCGUCCUUCACAGUGGUCGCCUCCAUUGUAGGCCGCUCCCUGCUCAGUCAGCUCCUGGCACUGAGCCUCCUGCUUUUCCUCCCACUCUGUGCCUCCUCCACCCAACUCUAAGCAUCAGGGGCUGGUCUCGGCCCCCUUCCUCUCCAUUUGCAAUCUGCCUAGGCCUAGGCCAUCGCUUACCUUAGAUACCAUCCCCAGCACCUUGACUCCCAAAGUCUCUCUCCGGCACAGACUUCCAUUCAGCUCAAGACUCAUACCUGACUGCCUACUUGACCUCACCACUUGAAAGCCUCCAGGACCUUAAAACAGAGCCUCACUGUCCACCCGUCCCAUCAGCAGGCCCACACCACAUGACAGGCCAGCCCCACUGUGACCCACACCACAGAACACCCUUGCACUUUUCACUGCGCCCAAUCUCUCCUCCACCCCAGCCAGAGUGAUUCUGGAAUUUGUACCAUGUUCAUGUAUUUUAUAAUUUCUAAAACAUUAAUUAAAAAUAAAAAAAAACUUGAAAGCAGGGUAUCAAAGAGAUACCUGUACACCCAGGUUUAUAGCAGCGUUAUUUGCAGCAGCCAAAAGAUGGAAUCUGCCAGGGUACAGUGGCUCACACCCAUAAUCCCAG